AUGGUUUAUCUCUCGUUUUACCAGCGACUUCUGUGCACAGUAGUAUCGCUAACUGUCGUCAGCGGCAUCAUCUUUAAAAAAGUCAAAUUCGAAGGAGGUGACACAGUGAUUUUCCCACUAAUCCCUAUACCGUUUGGACCGCUGAUUGGUCCCUACCAUAAAGUGUUCGCCCUAUCCAGAACAGAACUGCUUCAGCUGAAUCCCUCUCGCGGCAACAUCUGGAAGACUGAGAUUAAGAUAGUGGGUCGAGACUUUUACAAGUUCCCUGAGCGCUACCAGCCAGCCGCCGCAAUUAAGCCGGAUCCUACAAAGCAACCAAUUGGCCAAAAAGGCAUCCUUUUGGCUCGAAGACUAGCGGGACUCCACUUGCCUUAUCACUCGUUUACGUGUAACUGCUACCAUUACACUGAUUACUUGACCUACGGAAGGACCUUCGGCGAGAAAUGGUCCACGUAUCUCCCGAUCAGUGAUGCUUGCCCGCUCCACCUGAGGAUAAAUUCCACUACUAAUGUUAUUUCCAGGAGUUUCCAGUUGGAGGACAAAAAAAAGAACAAGUAUCAGAUCAAGUCCCUCAAGUUGCAGGAUUUCCUUGCAGUGAAAGAGUUUUGAAGUGAUUCGACGCAGGGCCGGAUUCAAGAUUUUUGGGCCCAAAUGCAGUCUGUGGUGCGGGUCCCCCAAAGUUUACCGCCUCGGAGAAGGGAGGGAGGGGGAUGAAGUGCCGAACUGACCCAGCGCUGGUAAGCGGUGACGGAUCCAGAGACAGCUUGGGGUGAUGGUGUCGCGUACACGGAUUCGGCGUCAGUUAGACGGACUGAAAGGUCUAAGAAAUCCGACUUAUGCGCACUGGAAAUAGCGGAAUUAGUGGGAGAGCAGAAAUUGGGUUUGGAAAGUAGAAGAGUCAAUUUUGUUAAACAAGACCGGACGCUUUAUUCGGAACUCACUAACUUACAAAAAGGCAAUUUGACUGGACUUAGAUUGAGCGCAGAGAGAACAGCUCCAGGCUUUCGCUAAGAUGGUAGGAAUCGAAGUGAAGUUUUACAAGUCUCUCCAGCCCUUACGAGGCAUGGAUGAGAAAGUAACGGUCGACAUUGCAUCAGCUCACCGUUACUGAUAAAGAGGACAUUAAAUUAACUAGAUGGCUAGUCUGAUUGUUUGUAAAUAUCGGCUUAAGGCCUUAAAAUGUUGGAGAUUGAGAAAUGAAAAGAGAGAUGGAAGAAAUGAGAAGAAAAAGGAUAGACGAAAAACUUGGGGCGUUGCAUGGAUGCGACAGAUGGCAUCUGAAUAUUUCGAGCGGGGCAAUCUACAUGAAUUUGUGUCUGUUGUUGUCUACAAAUCUUGGUAUCCUAACUGUAAAGAAUGUUUCAUUUUAUCUUAUUCUGUUUUGGUGGAUAACGGAUUGUACAUAAUAAUAAAAAUUUAAAUAAAUUCAAUCUCGAAUUUCUUUGGAAGGCAGUGUACACUACCUAAAGUAUGCAGAAAACGCUAACAAUGAGGGGACCUAUUGUCAUCUGGGUAAUUUUGUAUCCAAUGAUGCAACCUUCAUGGAGCCAUGUAUACCUAUUAAGUAUGGACAAACUCUAUAUAGACGGUAUUCAGAAAUCAUUUAUUUUAAGGACCUUUUCUUGUAAGCAAUGAAAUCAGAUGAGGAACAAGUACAAUUC
rnacentral:lncRNA from 1 species